GACGAACGCUGGCGGCGUGCCUAAUACAUGCAAGUUGAGCGCUGAAGGUUGGUACUUGUACCGACUGGAUGAGCAGCGAACGGGUGAGUAACGCGUGGGGAAUCUGCCUUUGAGCGGGGGACAACAUUUGGAAACGAAUGCUACUACCGCAUAAAAACUUUAAACACAAGUUUUAAGUUUGAAAGAUGCAAUUGCAUCACUCAAAGAUGAUCCCGCGUUGUAUUAGCUAGUUGGUGAGGUAAAGGCUCACCAAGGCGAUGAUACAUAGCCGACCUGAGAGGGUGAUCGGCCACAUUGGGACUGAGACACGGCCCAAACUCCUACGGGAGGCAGCAGUAGGGAAUCUUCGGCAAUGGACGAAAGUCUGACCGAGCAACGCCGCGUGAGUGAAGAAGGUUUUCGGAUCGUAAAACUCUGUUGGUAGAGAAGAACGUGGGUGAGAGUGGAAAGCUCAUCAAGUGACGGUAACUACCCAGAAAGGGACGGCUAACUACGUG
rnacentral:rRNA from 1 species